GUGGGGAAUAUUGGGCAAUGGGCGAAAGCCUGACCCAGCAACGCCGCGUGAAGGAAGAAGGCUUUCGGGUUGUAAACUUCUUUUGUCAGGGACGAAAAAAAUGACGGUACCUGACGAAUAAGCCACGGCUAACUACGUGCCAGCAGCCGCGGUAAUACGUAGGUGGCAAGCGUUAUCCGGAUUUACUGGGUGUAAAGGGCGUGUAGGCGGGAAAGCAAGUCAGAUGUGAAAACUAUGGGCUCAACCCAUAGCCUGCAUUUGAAACUGUUUUUCUUGAGUACUGGGGAGGCAGAUGGAAUUCCUAGUGUAGCGGUGAAAUGCGUAGAUAUUAGGAGGAACACCAGUGGCGAAGGCGAUCUGCUGGACAGCAACUGACGCUGAGGCGCGAAAGCGUGGGGAGCAAACAGGAUUAGAAACCCUUGUAGUCC
rnacentral:rRNA from 1 species